UACAGAGGGGGCAAGCGUUGUUCGGAAUUACUGGGCGUAAAGGGCGCGUAGGCGGCCCGCUAAGUCGAACGUGAAAUCCCCGGGCUCAACCCGGGAACUGCGUCCGAUACUGGUGGGCUCGAAUCCGGGAGAGGGAUGCGGAAUUCCAGGUGUAGCGGUGAAAUGCGUAGAUAUCAGGAGGAACACCGAUGGCGAAGGCAGCUCGCUGGGACGGUACUGACGCUGAGGCGCGAAAGCGUGGGGAGCAAACAGG
rnacentral:rRNA from 1 species